UCGGGAAUAUUGCGCAAUGGAGGAAACUCUGACGCAGUGACGCCGCGUGCAGGAAGAAGGUUUUCGGAUUGUAAACUGCCUUAGACAGGGAAGAAAAAGGACAGUACCUGUAGAAUAAGCUCCGGCUAACUACGUGCCAGCAGCCGCGGUAAUACGUAGGGAGCAAGCGUUAUCCGGAUUUAUUGGGUGUAAAGGGUGCGUAGACGGGAAGUCAAGUUAGUUGUGAAAUCCCUCGGCUCAACUGAGGAACUGCAACUAAAACUAACUUUCUUGAGUGCUGGAGAGGAAAGUGGAAUUCCUAGUGUAGCGGUGAAAUGCGUAGAUAUUAGGAGGAACACCAGUGGCGAAGGCGACUUUCUGGACAGUAACUGACGUUGAGGCACGAAAGUGUGGGGAGCAAACAGGAUUAGAUACCC
rnacentral:rRNA from 1 species